rnacentral:rRNA from 1 species
UACGAAAGGUCCAAGCGUUACUCGGAAUUACUGGGCGUAAAGCGCGCGUAGGCGGCUUUGUAAGUUAGAGGUGAAAGCCCGGGGCUCAACCCCGGAAUUGCCUUUAAGACUGCAUCGCUAGAAUCCAGGAGAGGUGAGUGGAAUUCCGAGUGUAGAGGUGAAAAUUCGUAGAUAUUCGGAAGAACACCAGUGGCGAAGGCGGCUCACUGGACUGGUAUUGACGCUGAGGUGCGAAAGCGUGGGGAGCAAACAGG